CGGAGGAAAAGAACAACAGGGUUGCCCCAGUAACGGCGAGUGAAGCGGCAACAGCUCAAAUUUGAAAUCUGGCUUCGGCCCGAGUUGUAAUUUGCAGAGGAAGCUUUAGGCGCGGCACCAUCUGAGUCCCCUGGAACGGGGCGCCACAGAGGGUGAGAGCCCCGUAUAGAUGGACGCCUAGCCUGUGUAAAGCUCCUUCGACGAGUCGAGUAGUUUGGGAAUGCUGCUCAAAAUGGGAGGUAAAUUUCUUCUAAAGCUAAAUACCGGCCAGAGACCGAUAGCGCACAAGUAGAGUGAUCGAAAGAUGAAAAGCACUUUGAAAAGAGGGUUAAAUAGCACGUGAAAUUGUUGAAAGGGAAGCGCUUGUGACCAGACUUGCGCCGGGCGGAUCAUCCGGUGUUCUCACCGGUGCACUCCGCCCGGCUCAGGCCAGCAUCGGUUCUCGUGGGGGGAUAAAGGCACCGGGAACGUAGCUCCUCCGGGAGUGUUAUAGCCCGGGGCGUAAUGCCCUCGCGGGGACCGAGGACCGCGCAUCUGCAAGGAUGCUGGCGUAAUGGUCAUCAGCGACCCGUCUUGAAACACGGACCAAGGAGUCAAGGUUUUGCGCGAGUGUUUGGGUGUAAAACCCGCACGCGUAAUGAAAGUGAACGUAGGUGAGAGCUUCGGCGCAUCAUCGACCGAUCCUGAUGUUUUCGGAUGGAUUUGAGUAGGAGCGUUAAGCCUUGGACCCGAAAGAUGGUGAACUAUGCUUGGAUAGGGUGAAGCCAGAGGAAACUCUGGUGGAGGCUCGCAGCGGUUCUGACGUGCAAAUCGAUCGUCAAAUCUGAGCAUGGGGGCGAAAGACUAAUCGAACCAUCUAGUAGCUGGUUACCGCCGAAGUUUCCCUCAGGAUAGCAGUGUUGUUCUUCAGUUUUAUGAGGUAAAGCGAAUGAUUAGGGACUCGGGGGCGCUUUUUAGCCUUCAUCCAUUCUCAAACUUUAAAUAUGUAAGAAGCCCUUGUUACUUAAUUGAACGUGGGCAUUCGAAUGUACCAACACUAGUGGGCCAUUUUUGGUAAGCAGAACUGGCGAUGCGGGAUGAACCGAACGCGGGGUUAAGGUGCCGGAGUGGACGCUCAUCA
rnacentral:rRNA from 1 species